rnacentral:tRNA from 1 species
GCGGGGGUGCCCGAGCGGUCAAAGAGGGCAGGCUCAGGACCUGCUGGCGUAGGCCUACGCGGGUUCGAAUCCCGUCCCCCGCACCA